CGCGCAGGCGGUCGUCCAAGUCGCGUGUGAGAGCCCCCGGCUCAACUGGGGAGGGCCACGCGAUACUGAUCGACUCGAAGGCGGGAGAGGGUAGUGGAAUUCCCGGUGUAGUGGUGAAAUGCGUAGAUAUCGGGAGGAACACCAGUGGCGAAGGCGACUACCUGGCCUGUUCUUGACGCUGAGGCGCGAAAGCUAGGGGAGCAAACGGGAUUAGAUACCCCGGAUAGUCCUAGCCGUAAACGAUGGACACUAGGUGUUGGUGGUAUCAACCCCGCCAGUGCCGAAGCUAACGCAUUAAGUGUCCCGCCUGGGGAGUACGGCCGCAAGGCUAAAACUCAAAGGAAUUGACGGGGCCACGCACAAGCAGCGGAGCGUGGGGUUUAAUUCGACGCAACGCGAUAGAACCUUACCAGGGCUUGACAUGACCAGGAUCCCGGCGGAAACGUCGGUUCCCCGCAAGGGGCCUGGCCACAGGUGUUGCAUGGCUGUCGUCAGCUCGUGUCGUGAGAUGUUGGGUUAAGUCCCGCAGCGAGCGCAACCAUCGUCCUUAGUUGCCAGCACGUCAUGGUGGGCACUCUAGGGAGACUGCCAGUGAUAAACUGGAGGAAGGCGGAGAUAACGUCAAGUCAGCACGGCCCUUAUGCCCUGGGCAACACACGUGCUACAAUGGCCAGCACAGAGGGUCGCAAGACCGAAAGGUGGAGCAAAUCCCACAAAACUGGCCCCAGUUCAGAUUGAGGGCUGCAAUUCGCCCUCAUGAAGUCGGAAUCGCUA
rnacentral:rRNA from 1 species